ensembl:lncRNA
CCCUUCUGGAACAUUUAAUGUGCUUAGUGCUUAGCAGCAAGAACUUGAAUGAAGGCAUUCCUGGCUCAAUCGGGAUCAAUCUCAGUACAAAAGCUGUGAAGAUGAGACCAGCUGGACAGCACAAAGCAAUGACAGCUUCACCUUCACCAGCGCUCCUUGGGAUGCAAACAGAAGACAGCAGGGCGAGUUCCUGCCUGCUGGAUGCCACAGCCCUGCCUGCACCCACUCACUGCGAGGCCAGGAGGCAUUCUGUGCGUGUACACUCAGCCCCAUACUGCUCCCAGGCAAUUGCACUUUGCUUUAGCUGAUAUUAAUAAUGAAGGAUUGGCUGCCGAUAGCUCUCAUUUCCAUGGGCACAUUGCCCCAAAACGGGAAAAAAUGUCCGGGCUUUGAGUUGUGUAACCAGAAUGACCAGAAUUCAUAAUGGGAAGGAAGGAAGGCCAGAAAAACACAUUCACGUGCUGGGCAGUGACUGGCCUUGCAUGACCUCUGUAAGGCGCAGCUUCCCUCCCUGUCUAGCAUGCCUCAUUCCUUAUUCUCUGAAAACAUCAGUCUGCACUUGCAGCCUUUGUCCCUUGGGUUCAAAUCUCAGCACCCCUCACUGCAUUCCUUCAGCUUUUCACCCACUCCUUUAUUAAGUUAUGUUCCUUCUGGUGAUGCCCCGCUGGAGCUUCCAUAGCAGAAGAUGUAACAGGAAUGCAAACAAUAGGAACAUUUAAGAACAUUCUACUUUCCUCUGCUGUGUCCACUUUGUUAAGAUUAUUUCCACAGCAAACAGCCAAGACAUCUCCUGCGACUGAUUUGGAUGUUAAAUCGUGCACUGAUAAUGCCUUCCCUUCAUCAAUACAUUCCAGAGCCUUCACAAAGCUUUUCUGGCCACGUGGCUAUCCGGUGAACUGCAGUAGUGGCAGCUAAUCAGAUUUCCCAGACCUGAAAUGGAGAAGUGUUAUGAACAAAGAGGAGUCGGAGUGGGCGUACAUUCCUCACCCUGCUAUGCCGGCAGGAUUGUAUCUCAGGCUUUCAGAGCAGGAAAAGGAUGUUGCAGGCGUAAUGGCAGGCAAUAUCAAUCAGAUAAGUCUAUCUAAUUACAGAGGGUCUAUCUAAUUACUAGAUUAACUCGUUAACCUUGCUUACACGAGCGCAACUGGCCAAAUACCACCAUAGAGAACUGAUUUAGAGAAACAAUUGCUCAACACGUUAAACAGCGUCUUGUAAGGACAGGUUUUGGAUCAGACAGCAGACUAUUGUGGGCUAAGACAAGUGGUUUGUGUAGGAGAGAACUGCAGCUGAAUCGCUAAUUAAUAGUAACCACAAAUUCAGCCUUCCUAGAAACAGAAUUGCACCAAAAGGACUGGAUAUUGACUCUAGAUUUUAGAGGGUUUGUUUUUUGAGGGAGCGAGCCAGCAAUAAAACACGUUCAAGGUGAAGGAAUUGCUUCAAUGGAGCCUCUGAAGGGAACGGAAGCAUUUGCCCCUAAUUCUCAAGUCUUUAUUCUAACACAGACUGCAGUAGUGGUGCUGCACGAAGCGUGGCUGUAUUUCUUGCUUUCAGCACAUCUGUGGUGUGACCGUGCAGUAGGGAAGAAUGCUUUCGGACACCGGUGAGCACCCCGGGCUGAGGGCUGCAUGCAUUCCCCUCAGCCCACACCUUGAACCCCCGAGGAGCUACAGAGGAGCUUUGCCUCCUAAGAGGAACACGAGCCCCACGUUGAGGGGACUGACAGAGAUCUUAAAACCAGCUGGAAGGAACUGAGUGAACAGACACCACAGCUCCACACGAACCACCCCCACCAUUGGCCGCAUUACGCAUGCGCAGCACAGCGCGCAGGCACAACAACCGCG